CCGCUUGCUCCACGGCGCCGCCCCUCGGGGCGAGCCGCAGCAUGCAACCCUUGUCUAUGCAUACCUUUUGUUAUUCCCUCGGCGGGGCAGCCCGCCGCUGGGGAGCAAUCAAACCUUUUGCAUCAGCAUCAAAACUUCUGAAUCAAAACAAAACAAUCA
rnacentral:misc_RNA from 1 species